rnacentral:lncRNA from 1 species
AUCAGUCAAGGAAGUAAGAAGCCACAAAACAGAAAAGAAAAAAAGAGAGAAGGUUGAAAAGAAAAGUAACAGUGAGAGCAAAGAAAACUAAGCAACAAAAUUACAUGGUCCUGGUAUAAAUGUCAGUGAGGAUGAAACUCAGUCAAGUAAUCAGUGAAAGACAGCUAAUAAGCACAUGUUGGUAGCACUCCACUUAGAUGAUAUAAGACCAGUCAAGAAAGACCUGGAUCCCAGAACAGCUCAAGAUGUCAACCCGAAGCAAAUUAACCAGCACAUAACAAUAGGAGAAACGAUACACAAAGUUGGAGGUGACACAGAGAAAUGAGAGAUGAUCAAGAUAAAAUUUCCAGGGUGGGAAGGAAGGUGGUAAUACCUGAGCUUCCUUUAGAGGCCAAAGAAGAGACUGAGGACGGGAAGAAGAUGAGGCUGAGGAUGGGGAAGAGGAUGAGGCAGAGGAAAUCCUCGA